ensembl:lncRNA
UGUUGAUCUGAAUAAAUCUCUAGGAGGAGUUCGUUAAAAUACAAGGCAUGCAAAUGACAAAAAUGAUGCAAAAUUUGCUCAUAAAAUUAAAAAUAACCGACUUCCUGUUGGGUUUCGGAUAUUGCUCCAAGAGUCUUUUUUGUAGGUACUGAUGCUUUACAUAUGUGUGCCAAUUUUCGUGCAUGUACGUGAAACACAGCUCGAGGGCUGUUGAUUUUUUUACGGUAGGUGGCGCUGUCGAGCCAUUUUGCCACACCCUCUUCUGAAACCUAUAUCAGAUGUAAAUUUUCACCAGGUCUGACGCGUGUGCAAAGUUUCAGGACUUUUCGAGCAUGUUUAGGCCCUCAAAAAUGCGAUUCAUUUUGGAGAAGAAGAAGAAGAAGAAGAAGAAUAAUAAUAAUUAAAGCUGCAAGCAGCGAUGAACGGGCCCUCGCACCCGGGCUCACCGCCAGCGGGUGGCUUUAGUAAAACAGCUAACGGCGAGAAAUAUGCGUUUAAUGUGGUAAAUAUAAGAGGAAUAUGUCAAAG